GCUUGGAUGGCUCAGUUGGUUAGAGCGCAGGUCUCAUAUUACGUUAUGAGUUACGACUUCGUAAUUAAAUCCUGAGGUCAUGAGUUCGAUCCUCAUUCCGAGCA